UAUGGAGUCGGUAUAUUUUGA
rnacentral:piRNA from 1 species